rnacentral:rRNA from 1 species
GAAUGGGAUCAAGGGAAUUGCCCACUGCACAAGAUGACCAAACUCCGGACACUGGGUCUGCAAGGAUUCAAGGAAUCUAAACAUGGGGGCGCACUUGAGAGUGCUCUCAGGAAGAUGAGUCGCCUUCACCACUUGGACUUGAUAGGCAAUGAGAUCCCUUCAUGUGUCUUCACGGCACAGAGCCUUCGAUACCUUGAGAUGGUAGGGCUCCGUGGCACAAUCAAAUGGCCCGAGGUUGCAUCGGAUGUUCGCAAGGUCCGGCCGAACCUCGCUCGGCUCGCUCUGCCUUGUCAUAUUAUUACAAGCUUUUGUUCACAGUUCAAUCAAAUGCUUUGGCGCCUUACAAACAAGAGAAAGAGAUGCGGCAACAGCUGCCACUCAUGUCUCCAAAUAUCUUUAUUGUGUACAUAA